rnacentral:rRNA from 1 species
GACGAACCGUGCGAACGUUAUUCGGAAUCAUUGGGCUUAAAGGGCGCGUAGGCGGGUCGACACGUCGGAACUGAAAUCCCCCGGCUCAACCGGGGAACGGGCCCCGAUACGAUCGACCUCGAGGUGAGAAGGGGGAUCCGGAACGUCCGGUGGAGCGGUGAAAUGCGUUGAGAUCGGACGGAACGCCGAUGGCGAAAGCAGGGUCCUGGGCUCAUAUCUGACGCUGAGGCGCGAAAGCCAGGGGAGCGAACGGG